rnacentral:rRNA from 1 species
GACGAACGCUGGCGGCGUGCUUAACACAUGCAAGUCGAACGGACAGGCCCUGCUUUUGCGGGGUGCUCGUGAGGCGAGCAGGUGAGUAACACGCGUGUAAACUGUCCUUGUCUUUGGGAUAACAUCUGGAGAAAGCGGCUCUUACAGGGUAGGAGCUUCUGCAGCACGGGGGUCGAUGGAAAGAUACGGCGGUUGGGGCUGGACUAGAGGCUUAUCCGCUUGUUGGUGUGGUAGUGGCUUACCAAGGCUUUGACGGGUAGCCGGCAUGAGAGGGUGACCGGCGACAAUGGGCCUGCGAUACGGCCCAGACUCCUACGGGAGGCAGCAGUGGGGAAUAUUGCACAAUGGGCGGAAGCCAGAGGCAGCAACGCCGCGUGCGUGAUGACGGCCUUCUGGUUGUAAACCGCUUUCGCCUGUGACGAAGCGUGAGUGACGGUAAUUGGUAAAGAAGCACCGGCUAACUACGUG